rnacentral:rRNA from 1 species
UACGGGGGGAGCAAGCGUUGUUCGGAUUUACUGGGCGUAAAGGGCGUGCAGGCGGUUUGUUAAGUCUGAUGUGAAAGCCCACGGCUCAACCGUGGAGGGUCAUUGGAAACUGGGGAACUUGAGUGCAGGAGAGAAGAGUGGAAUUCCACGUGUAGCGGUGAAAUGCGUAGAGAUGUGGAGGAACACCGGUGGCGAAGGCAGAUCUCUGGGCCGUAACUGACGCUGAGGAGCGAAAGCAUGGGGAGCGAACAGG